AGACAAGGGAUCACAGGGGAUGGGAAAAGCAGGAAAGGAUUACGGUGGAGAGAACAGCAAGGGAACAUUUCUGGGGCCCAAGCCGGGAAGUGUGAUGCCUAAAGAAAAGAAGCAUGUUUCCACCAUGAUUGGAGAGAAGAUCGGCAAGAAAGUGACUUCCAUUCUCAAAAACGAUAAGAGUAAGAUCAAGCCCCAGGGGCAGUAACAAUUCUUGGUUAAUAUACAUAUGUUGUUCUAAAUUAGGUUGUCUGAUCUCUUCCUCAGUCUUCCUGUUUGUGUAUGUGUGCAGAUACCAGAAUGUUUGUCUUAGGUAUCAAAUUAUCCCACUAUGUUUGCAGUUUAUGUAUUAGCUAAAUGAUCACUGUGUUGUAUUUCUGCAUAAAUUUUCUCAUGUAACCAGAUUUGUGAUUAAUUUAAUUUAUUGUUGUUUUUAGAGUUUUUC